GACGAACGCUGGCGGCGUGCUUAACACAUGCAAGUCGAACGGAAAGGCCCUGCUUUUGUGGGGUGCUCGAGUGGCGAACGGGUGAGUAACACGUGAGUAACCUGCCCUUGACUUUGGGAUAACUUCAGGAAACUGGGGCUAAUACCGGAUAGGAGCUCCUGCUGCAUGGUGGGGGUUGGAAAGUUUCGGCGGUGGGGGAUGGACUCGCGGCUUAUCAGCUUGUUUGUGGGGUAGUGGCUUACCAAGGCUUUGACGGGUAGCCGGCCUGAGAGGGUGACCGGCCACAUUGGGACUGAGAUACGGCCCAGACUCCUACGGGAGGCAGCAGUGGGGAAUAUUGCACAAUGGGCGGAAGCCUGAUGCAGCAACGCCGCGUGCGGGAUGACGGCCUUCGGGUUGUAAACCGCUUUCGCCUGUGACGAAGCGUGAGUGACGGUAAUGGGUAAAGAAGCACCGGCUAACUACGUG
rnacentral:rRNA from 1 species